ACGGAAGGCAGCAGUGAGGAAUAUUGGUCAAUGGACGGAAGUCUGAACCAGCCAUGCCGCGUGAAGGAAUAAGGCCCUAUGGGUCGUAAACUUCUUUUGUGGUGGAGCAAUAAGGUGCACGUGUGCAUCGAUGAGAGUACAUCACGAAUAAGCAUCGGCUAACUCCGUGCCAGCAGCCGCGGUAAUACGGAGGAUGCAAGCGUUAUCCGGAUUUAUUGGGUUUAAAGGGUGCGUAGGCUGUUCUUCAAGUCAGAGGUGAAAUGCCCGAGCCUAACUCGGGAACUGCCUUUGAUACUGGAGGGCUUGAAUACUGUUGCCGUGGGAGGAAUGAGUAGUGUAGCGGUGAAAUGCAUAGAUAUUACUCAGAACACCGAUUGCGAAGGCAUCUCACGAAGCAGCGAUUGACGCUGAGGCACGAAAGCGUGGGGAUCAAACAGGAUUAGAUACCCUGGUA
rnacentral:rRNA from 1 species